rnacentral:rRNA from 1 species
GAACGUUACCAAACUGUUGCCUCGGCGGGAUCUCUGCCCCGGGUGCGUCGCAGCCCCGGACCAAGGCGCCCGCCGGAGGACCAACCAAAACUCUUUUUGUAUACCCCCUCGCGGGUUUUUUUUAUAAUCUGAGCCUUCUCGGCGCCUCUCGUAGGCGUUUCGAAAAUGAAUCAAAACUUUCAACAACGGAUCUCUUGGUUCUGGCAUCGAUGAAGAACGCAGCGAAAUGCGAUAAGUAAUGUGAAUUGCAGAAUUCAGUGAAUCAUCGAAUCUUUGAACGCACAUUGCGCCCGCCAGUAUUCUGGCGGGCAUGCCUGUCCGAGCGUCAUUUCAACCCUCGAACCCCUCCGGGGGGUCGGCGUUGGGGAUCGGCCCUGCCUCUUGGCGGUGGCCGUCUCCGAAAUACAGUGGCGGUCUCGCCGCAGCCUCUCCUGCGCAGUAGUUUGCACACUCGCAUCGGGAGCGCGGCGCGUCCACAGCCGUUAAACACCCAACUUCUGAAAUGUUGACCUCGGAUCAGGUAGGAAUACCCGCUGAACUUAAGCAUA